CGACGGGAGCUUGCUCCCUUAGGUCAGCGGCGGACGGGUGAGUAACACGUGGGUAACCUGCCUGUAAGACUGGGAUAACUCCGGGAAACCGGGGCUAAUACCGGAUGCUUGAUUGAACCGCAUGGUUCAAUCAUAAAAGGUGGCUUUUAGCUACCACUUGCAGAUGGACCCGCGGCGCAUUAGCUAGUUGGUGAGGUAACGGCUCACCAAGGCGACGAUGCGUAGCCGACCUGAGAGGGUGAUCGGCCACACUGGGACUGAGACACGGCCCAGACUCCUACGGGAGGCAGCAGUAGGGAAUCUUCCGCAAUGGACGAAAGUCUGACGGAGCAACGCCGCGUGAGUGAUGAAGGUUUUCGGAUCGUAAAACUCUGUUGUUAGGGAAGAACAAGUACCGUUCGAAUAGGGCGGUACCUUGACGGUACCUAACCAGAAAGCCACGGCUAACUACGUGCCAGCAGCCGCGGUAAUACGUAGGUGGCAAGCGUUGUCCGGAAUUAUUGGGCGUAAAGCGCGCGCAGGCGGUUUCUUAAGUCUGAUGUGAAAGCCCCCGGCUCAACCGGGGAGGGUCAUUGGAAACUGGGGAACUUGAGUGCAGAAGAGGAGAGUGGAAUUCCACGUGUAGCGGUGAAAUGCGUAGAGAUGUGGAGGAACACCAGUGGCGAAGGCGA
rnacentral:rRNA from 1 species